UACAGAGGUCUCAAGCGUUGUUCGGAUUCAUUGGGCGUAAAGGGUGCGUAGGUGGCGCCGUAAGUCAGGUGUGAAAUUUCGGAGCUUAACUCCGAAACUGCAUUUGAUACUGCGGUGCUUGAGGACUGGAGAGGAGACUGGAAUUCACGGUGUAGCAGUGAAAUGCGUAGAUAUCGUGAGGAAGACCAGUGGCGAAGGCGGGUCUCUGGACAGUUCCUGACACUGAGGCAACGAAGGCCCAGG
rnacentral:rRNA from 1 species